rnacentral:rRNA from 1 species
UACGAAGGGGGCUAGCGUUGCUCGGAAUCACUGGGCGUAAAGCGCACGUAGGCGGUACUCUUAAGUCGGUGGUGAAAAUCCCGUGGAGCUCAACUCCAGAAUCGUGCCUUCGAUACUGGAGAGUCUCGAGUCCGAGAGAGGUGAGUGGAACUGACGAGUGUAGAGGUGAAAUUCGUAGAUAUUCGCAAGAACACCAGUGGCGAAGGCGGCUCACUGGCUCGGUACUGACGACUGAGGUGGCGAAACGUGG